UGCAAGUUGAGUGCUGGUGACUGG
rnacentral:piRNA from 1 species